rnacentral:rRNA from 1 species
CCUACGGGUGGCAGCAGUAGGGAAUCUUCCACAAUGGGCGAAAGCCUGAUGGAGCAACGCCGCGUGGGUGAAGAAGGUCUUCGGAUCGUAAAACUCUGUUGUUAGAGAAGUAAGUGCGUGAGAGUAACUGUUCACGUUUCGACGGUAUCUAACCAGAAAGCCACGGCUAACUACGUGCCAGCAGCCGCGGUAAUACGUAGGUGGCAAGCGUUAUCCGGAUUUAUUGGGCGUAAAGGGAACGCAGGGGGUCUGUUAAGUCUGAUGUGAAAGCCUUCGGCUUAACCGGAGUAGUGCAUUGGAAACUGGGAGACGUGAGUGCAGAAGAGGAGGGUGGAACUCCAGGUGUAGCGGUGAAAUGCGUAGAUAUAAGGAAGAACACCAGUGGCGAAGGCGGAUGUCUGGUCUGUAACUGACGCUGAGGUUCGAAAGCGUGGGUAGCAAACAGGAUUAGAUACCCCUGUAGUC